rnacentral:lncRNA from 1 species
GUUCCAUAACCCGGUUUAAAUCCAAACUGUGCAUCGGUUAUUAUAUUGUGUUUUUCGCUCCAUUUGGUAAGCCUGGUGUUAAUAAUUGAUGUGAACAGUUUACCCACAUGUGAUACGAGAGAAAUACCACGAUAGUUGCCAGGGUCAUCUACUGGUCCUUUUUUGAAAACUGGUAUUAUAAUGUUAUUUACCCAUAUUUCUGGAAAAUCGCCAGCACUCAAUAUACGGUUAAACAGCUUACACAAUACUGGUUUGAUAAAGUUUCUGCUCGUUAAUAUAUAUUCGUUCAUGAUAUUGUCAUAUCCAGUGGAUUUAUCACGUUUUAAAU